rnacentral:rRNA from 1 species
GUGCCUAUACAUGCAAGUCGAACGAACUCUGGUAUUGAUUGGUGCUUGCAUCAUGAUUUACAUUUGAGUGAGUGGCGAACUGGUGAGUAACACGUGGGAAACCUGCCCAGAAGCGGGGGAUAACACCUGGAAACAGAUGCUAAUACCGCAUAACAACUUGGACCGCAUGGUCCGAGUUUGAAAGAUGGCUUCGGCUAUCACUUUUGGAUGGUCCCGCGGCGUAUUAGCUAGAUGGUGGGGUAACGGCUCACCAUGGCAAUGAUACGUAGCCGACCUGAGAGGGUAAUCGGCCACAUUGGGACUGAGACACGGCCCAAACUCCUACGGGAGGCAGCAGUAGGGAAUCUUCCACAAUGGACGAAAGUCUGAUGGAGCAACGCCGCGUGAGUGAAGAAGGGUUUCGGCUCGUAAAACUCUGUUGUUAAAGAAGAACAUAUCUGAGAGUAACUGUUCAGGUAUUGACGGUAUUUAACCAGAAAGCCACGGCUAACUACGUGCCAGCAGCCGCGGUAAUACGUAGGUGGCAAGCGUUGUCCGGAUUUAUUGGGCGUAAAGCGAGCGCAGGCGGUUUUUUAAGUCUGAUGUGAAAGCCUUCGGCUCAACCGAAGAAGUGCAUCGGAAACUGGGAAACUUGAGUGCAGAAGAGGACAGUGGAACUCCAUGUGUAGCGGUGAAAUGCGUAGAUAUAUGGAAGAACACCAGUGGCGAAGGCGGCUGUCUGGUCUGUAACUGACGCUGAGGCUCGAAAGUAUGGGUAGCAAACAGGAUUAGAUACCCUGGUAGUCCAUACCGUAAACGAUGAAUGCUAAGUGUUGGAGGGUUUCCGCCCUUCAGUGCUGCAGCUAACGCAUUAAGCAUUCCGCCUGGGGAGUACGGCCGCAAGGCUGAAACUCAAAGGAAUUGACGGGGGCCCGCACAAGCGGUGGAGCAUGUGGUUUAAUUCGAAGCUACGCGAAGAACCUUACCAGGUCUUGACAUACUAUGCAAAUCUAAGAGAUUAGACGUUCCCUUCGGGGACAUGGAUACAGGUGGUGCAUGGUUGUCGUCAGCUCGUGUCGUGAGAUGUUGGGUUAAGUCCCGCAACGAGCGCAACCCUUAUUAUCAGUUGCCAGCAUUAAGUUGGGCACUCUGGUGAGACUGCCGGUGACAAACCGGAGGAAGGUGGGGAUGACGUCAAAUCAUCAUGCCCCUUAUGACCUGGGCUACACACGUGCUACAAUGGAUGGUACAACGAGUUGCGAACUCGCGAGAGUAAGCUAAUCUCUUAAAGCCAUUCUCAGUUCGGAUUGUAGGCUGCAACUCGCCUACAUGAAGUCGGAAUCGCUAGUAAUCGCGGAUCAGCAUGCCGCGGUGAAUACGUUCCCGGGCCUUGUACACACCGCCCGUCACACCAUGAGAGUUUGUAACACCCAAAGUCGGUGGGGUAACCUUUUAGGAACCAGCCGCCUAAGGU